rnacentral:rRNA from 1 species
GUUUGAUCCUGGCUCAGAUUGAACGCUGGCGGCAUGCCUUACACAUGCAAGUCGAACGGCAGCGCGGGGCAACCUGGCGGCGAGUGGCGAACGGGUGAGUAAUAUAUCGGAACGUACCCUGGAGUGGGGGAUAACGUAGCGAAAGUUACGCUAAUACCGCAUACGAUCUAAGGAUGAAAGUGGGGGCUUCGCAAGAACCUCAUGCUCCUGGAGCGGCCGAUAUCUGAUUAGCUAGUUGGUGAGGUAAAGGCUCACCAAGGCUUCGAUCAGUAGCUGGUCUGAGAGGACGACCAGCCACACUGGAACUGAGACACGGUCCAGACUCCUACGGGAGGCAGCAGUGGGGAAUUUUGGACAAUGGGCGCAAGCCUGAUCCAGCAAUGCCGCGUGAGUGAAGAAGGCCUUCGGGUUGUAAAGCUCUUUUGUCAGGGAAGAAACGGUGAGGGCUAAUAUCUCUUGCUAAUGACGGUACCUGAAGAAUAAGCACCGGCUAACUACGUGCCAGCAGCCGCGGUAAUACGUAGGGUGCAAGCGUUAAUCGGAAUUACUGGGCGUAAAGCGUGCGCAGGCGGUUUUGUAAGUUUGUCGUGAAAGCCCCGGGCUCAACCUGGGAAUUGCGAUGAAGACUGCAAGGCUUGAAUCUGGCAGAGGGGGGUAGAAUUCCACGUGUAGCAGUGAAAUGCGUAGAGAUGUGGAGGAACACCGAUGGCGAAGGCAGCCCCCUGGGUCAAGAUUGACGCUCAUGCACGAAAGCGUGGGGAGCAAACAGGAUUAGAUACCCUGGUAGUCCACGCCCUAAACGAUGUCUACUAGUUGUCGGGUUUUAAUUAACUUGGUAACGCAGCUAACGCGUGAAGUAGACCGCCUGGGGAGUACGGUCGCAAGAUUAAAACUCAAAGGAAUUGACG